GGUACAUUUUUUCUCAAGUAUUCGAACCAUGCACAAGCCAGAAAAUUCUAUUCAACUCUUGUGUCUUAAAUCCAGUUCAUAAAUUUAUUGAUGGCAAGAGUUGUCUGCUCUUCUCCUAUGGAACAACAAAUGCUGGAAAAACCCACACCAUACAUGGCUCAAAAAAAGAUCCAGGCAUCAUCCCACGUGUUCUGAGCAUAUUAUUUAAGAGCAUCAAACAAAAACAGUGCAAUGAAAUUCAGGGGAUUCAGUUCAGGCCAGAGUAUGGUAAUUCAAUUAGAGAAUUAAAAGAAGACGAAAUCAGAGAGCAAAUCGCCCUAAA